rnacentral:rRNA from 1 species
UAGGGAAUCUUCGGCAAUGGGGGCAACCCUGACCGAGCAACGCCGCGUGAGUGAAGAAGGCUUUCGGAUCGUAAAGCUCUGUUGUAAGAGAAGAACGUGUGUGAGAGUGGAAAGUUCAUACAGUGACGGUAACUUACCAGAAAGGGACGGCUAACUACGUGCCAGCAGCCGCGGUAAUACGUAGGUCCCGAGCGUUGUCCGGAUUUAUUGGGCGUAAAGCGAGCGCAGGCGGUUUAAUAAGUCUGAAGUUAAAGGCAGUGGCUUAACCAUUAUUCGCUUUGGAAACUGUUAGGCUUGAGUGCAGAAGAGGGGAGUGGAAUUCCAUGUGUAGCGGUGAAAUGCGUAGAUAUAUGGAGGAACACCGGUGGCGAAGGCGGCUCUCUGGUCUGUGACUGACGCUGAGGCUCGAAAGCGUGGGGAGCAAACAGG